CCUACGAGCGGCAGCAGUGGGGAAUAUUGCACAAUGGGCGAAAGCCUGAUGCAGCAACGCCGCGUGAGCGAUGAAGGCCUUCGGGGCGUAAAGCUCUGUCCUCAAGGAAGAUAAGGACGGUACGUGAGGAGGAAGCCCCGGCUAACGACGUGCCAGCAGCCGCGGUGAGACGUAGGGUGCUAGCGUUAUCCGGAAUUACUGGGCGUAAAGGGUGCGUAGGUGGUUUCUUAAGUCAGAGGUGAAAGGCUACGGCUCAACCGUAGUAAGCCUUUGAAACUGGGGAACUUGAGUGCAGGAGAGGAGAGUUGAAUUCCUAGUGUAGCGGUGAAAUGCGUAGAUAUUAGGAGGAACACCAGUUGCGAAGGCGGCUCUCUGGCCUGUAACUGACACUGAGGCACGAAAGCGUGGGGAGCAAACAGGAUUAGAUACCCCAGUAGUC
rnacentral:rRNA from 1 species